AAUGAACGCUGGCGGCGCGCCUAAUACAUGCAAGUCGAGCGAGAAGACGUAGCAAUACGUUUGUAAAGCGGCGAACGGGUGAGGAAUACAUGGGUAACCUACCCUCGAGUGGGGAAUAACUAGCCGAAAGGUUAGCUAAUACCGCGUACGCUUCUUGGACUUCGGUUCAGGGAGGAAAGCGAUGCCGAGGGUAUCGCGCUCUUGGAUGGGCUCAUGUCCUAUCAGCUUGUUGGNGAGGUAACGGCUCACCAAGGCUUCGACGGGUAGCUGGUCUGAGAGGACGAUCAGCCACACUGGCACUGCGACACGGGGCCA
rnacentral:rRNA from 1 species